rnacentral:rRNA from 1 species
UACAGAGGUCUCAAGCGUUGUUCGGAAUCACUGGGCGUAAAGGGUGCGUAGGUGGCGUGGUAAGUCAGAUGUGAAAGCCCGGGGCUCAACCCCGGAAUUGCAUCCGAUACUGCCACGCUAGAGUACUGAAGAGGCGACUAGAAUUCUCGGUGUAGCAGUGAAAUGCGUAGAUAUCGAGAGGAAUACCAACGGCGAAGGCAGGUCACUGGGCAGUUACUGACACUGAGGCACGAAGGCCAGGGGAGCAAACGGG